UACGGAGGGGGCUAGCGUUGUUCGGAAUUACUGGGCGUAAAGCGCACGUAGGCGGCGAUUCAAGUUAGAUGUGAAAGGCCUGGGCUCAACCCGGGAACUGCAUUUGAUACUGAAUUGCUAGAGUCCAAGAGAGGGUAGUGGAAUUCCCAGUGUAGAGGUGAAAUUCGUAGAUAUUGGGAAGAACACCAGUGGCGAAGGCGGCUACCUGGCUUGGUACUGACGCUCAGGUGCGAAAGCGUGGGGAGCGAACAGG
rnacentral:rRNA from 1 species